AUACGGAGGGUGCAAGCGUUAUCCGGACUCAUUGGGUUUAAAGGGUGCGCAGGCGGAAUGAUAAGUCAGUGGUGAAAUCCUACAGCUUAACUGUAGAACUGCCAUUGAUACUGUCAUUCUUGAGUACACUUGAAGUGGGCGGAAUGUAUCAUGUAGCGGUGAAAUGCAUAGAUAUGAUACAGAACUCCGAUAGCGAAGGCAGCUCACUAAAUUGUAACUGACGCUCAGGCACGAAAGCGUGGGGAGCAAACAGGAUUAGAAACCCUUGUAGUCC
rnacentral:rRNA from 1 species